rnacentral:lncRNA from 1 species
UCCACAUGUAGACAUAAAACAGGACUACUCUAUUUAUUACAGUACAUAUGAAUAAACAGGAAAGUAAUCAAUUCGACUACUUCAAUCAGCUUUCCAUUUCAAGGUUAAAACUUCGAUAACAAGUAUUCUUAGCUUUUGGCCAUUGGAGAUUAGGCAAAUACCUGGAAAGGGAAAUACAGUUGGAAGACAGAGAUGUCAGCAAUAGAUCGAGUAAUCAGCAGGACCAUAUAGUAAGUCACAAUAGCAGGGAAUCAGUUGUGACUUAGCUAUAGAUCCAAAGACAAUGUUAAAUGGACCAGGACCAAUUUCAAACCAAAACACCACCCAAAACAGCUUGAAUACAACCAAAAUGACUCGAAAUUGAACCCACGAACAAUCAGAAAACCACAUCAAUCAAACUUGGAGCUAAAUAAUGUAAAUCCACACAACUUGAAACUGAACUUAAAAUUUUAAUAGAACAAUAUUUGAAUGCCUUUUUUUGGAUUAUUCUUUCUCUUUCUUUUUAAAAGUAAAGAUUUGGGAGAGAGUUAUUUGAAGUUUUCCAU